rnacentral:rRNA from 1 species
ACUGGGCUUUUACUGACGCUGAGGCUCGAAAGCGUGGGGAGCAAACAGGAUUAGAUACCCUGGUAGUCCACGCUGUAAACGAUGAUUACUAGGUGUGGGGGGACUGACCCCUUCCGUGCCGCAGUUAACACAAUAAGUAAUCCACCUGGGGAGUACGACCGCAAGGUUGAAACUCAAAGGAAUUGACGGGGGCCCGCACAAGCAGUGGAGUAUGUGGUUUAAUUCGAAGCAACGCGAAGAACCUUACCGGGUCUUGACAUCGUAUGCAUAGCAUAGAGAUAUGUGAAACCUCUUCGGAGGCAUAUAGACAGGUGGUGCAUGGUUGUCGUCAGCUCGUGUCGUGAGAUGUUGGGUUAAGUCCCGCAACGAGCGCAACCUCUACCUUUAGUUGCUACGCAAGAGCACUCUAAAGGGACUGCCGUUGACAAAACGGAGGAAGGUGGGGAUGACGUCAAAUCAUCAUGCCCCUUAUGACCCGGGCGACACACGUACUACAAUGGCAAUCAACAAAGAGGAGCGAAAUCGCGAGAUGGAGCAAAUCUCAAAAAAUUGUCCCAGUUCGGAUGCAGGCUGCAACUCGCCUGCAUGAAGUCGGAAUGCU